CAACAUUAUCCACAGACGUGCAGGGGGAUGUUGCUGAGAAACCCAGAUGUUUCUUAAACUUUAAUAUAGGUGAGAAUUCACUGGGCAUUGUGCUGAAAUGCAGAUUCCAAUUCAAUGGGUCUGGGGUGGGCCUUGAGAUUGUUCAAUUCUUUCUUUCUUUUUUUCUUUUUCUUUUUUUUUUUUUUUAAGACAGGGUCUCACUCUGUUGCCCAGACUGGAGUGCAGUAAUGCCAUCAUGGCUCACUGCAGACUUGACCUUCUAGGCUCAGGCGAUCCUUCCACCUCAGCUGCUGGAGUAGCUGAGACUAUAGGCAUGCACCACCACGCCUGGCUAAUUUUUUAUUUUUUAUAGAGAUGGGGUCUCCCUAUGUAGUCGAGGCUGGUCUCAAACUCCUGGGCUCAAGCAAUCCUCCUGCCUCAGCCUCCCAAAGCGCUGGGAUUAUAGGCAUGAGCCACCGCACCCAGCUGAUUUUUCAUUUCUAACCCCAAUGCAGCUGGUCCACAGACCACACUUUGAGUAGGAAGGCCUUAGAUGUCCAGAUUUUUCUCUGUAUUAUGUAAUCCUCCAUCCAAAUGUCUAGAAACCAAAAGCAGAACAAAAAGCAACCACUGUCAAUUUAAUAAGGCCAAUAAAGGUUACUUUCGGGUGA
ensembl:lncRNA novel transcript